AGAGUUUGAUCAUGGCUCAGGACGAACGCUGACGGUGUGCUUUAGACAUGCAAGUCGAACGAGAAAGCCCUUCGGGGUGAGUACAGUGGCGAACGGGUGAGUAACACGUGGGUAACCUGCCCCUCGCAGGGGGACAACCGGGGGGAAACCCCGGCUAAUACCCCGUACGCUUGCCGGGCCGCAUGACCCGGCAAGGAAAGGUAGCUUCGGCCAUCCGGCGAGGGAUGGGCCCGCGGUCCAUUAGCUAGUUGGUGGGGUAAUGGCCCACCAAGGCGAAGAUGCCUAGCUGGUGUGAGAGCAUGACCAGCGCCACUGGCACUGAGACACUGGCCAGACACCUACGGGUGGCUGCAGUCGAGAAUCUUCGGCAAUGGGCGCAAGCCUGACCGAGCGACGCCGCGUGCGGGACGAAGGCCUUCGGGUUGUAAACCGCUGUCAGGGGGGAACAAAACAAUGAGUGAUCCCCAGAGGAAGCACGGGCUAAGUUCGUGCCAGCAGCCGCGGUAAGACGAACCGUGCGAACGUUGUUCGGAAUCACUGGGCUUAAAGGGCGCGUAGGCUGCCUGCUUAGUCGGGGGUGAAAUCUUUCGGCUUAACCGGAAAAUUGCCUUCGAUACUGGCGGGCUCGAGCGAGGUAGGGGCGGAUGGAACUUCCGGUGGAGCGGUGAAAUGUGUUGAUAUCGGAAGGAACGCCGGUGGCGAAAGCGAUCCGCUGGACCUCUUCUGACGCUGAGGCGCGAAAGCCAGGGGAGCAAACGGGAUUAGAUACCCCGGUAGUCC
rnacentral:rRNA from 1 species